UUCCCUAGCUCUAACCCUAAUCAUAUAUUUCUCAAAGUUUUUGAUUUUUAUUCAAGAUUCCUUCUAAUCAAUUAUUUCUUCUUUGUAUGUAGAUGUGGUUGCAACUUCGGAGCUUUUUUCAUCUGUGAUAUCGUAGCGUGUGAAAGACGGAUAAUUCUACAGAGACAAUGCAUCAUCCCAUUCGGUCAGGUCAAUUUUCAUCCCUAUUUUGUUUAUAAUCUAU
rnacentral:sRNA from 1 species